AAACACAAUUUUUUUUUUUUGAAAACACAAAUUUUUAUGUUGGCGGGAAAAUGAAUUUUUCAGUUUUUGCGGGAAAUAAGAUUUUCUGGUUUUGGCGGGAAAAUAUGAUUUUCCAGCGGAAAAAAGAGAUUUAUAGGUUUUGGCGGAAAAUACAUUUUUGGUAUUGGCGGGAAAACACGAUUUCGAUUUUUUCGGGAAACGAGAUUGUUCGCUUUUAGCGGGAAAUGCGUUUUUUUUUGUUUUGGCGGAAAAAUACAAUUUUUUGGUUUUGCGAAAAUGAGAUUUUCAGUUUUGGUGGGAAAACGGGAUUUUUUUGUUUUGAACGAAAACACGAUUUUAUUAAUUUUUACGAAAAAUGAAUUUUUUUUUGCUUUUGGCGUGAAACACAUUUUUUUGGUUUUAGCGGGAAAACAUGAUUUUUGGUUUUUGCUGGAAAACAAGAUUGGUCAGUUUUUGCGGGAAUGAAAUUUUCCAAUUUUGACGAUAAAACGUUUUUUUGUUUCGGGGGAAAGCGAGAGUUUUUAUUUUUGCGGAAAACACAAUUUCGAUUUUGGCGAGAAAAAACGAUUUUUUUUUGGCUGGAAAACACGAUUUUUUGUUUUGGCGUGAAAAUGUGUUUUUUGGUUUUGACGGAAAAAUGCUAUUUUUUGGCAGAAAAACAAUAUUUUCUGUUUUUGCUGGAAAACAAUAUUUUCUGAUUUUAGUGAUAAAAUGAGAUUUUCCUAUUUUGACGAGAAACCUUUUUUUUCUUCAGCGGGAAAGCGAUAUUCUCGGGUUUGGUGGGAAAGUGUCAUUUUCGGUUUUGACGUGAAAACGAGAGUUUUUAGUUUUGACGGGAUAAUUUUUUGUGGGAAAACAAAAUUUUUGGUAUUGGCGAGUAAAACACGAUUUUUUGUUUUGUCGGGUAAAUGUUUUUUUUGUGUGGUUUUAGCGACAAUAUACGUUUUUGCGGUUUUGUCAUUUUUUUGUGACUGACAAAAUAAUUUUAGGGUUAAGUUUGUGAUUUGUCAAUAAUAUUAGGGUACAAUUGACAUUAUAUCAUUUUGGUAAAAAAAUAUUUAAUUAUAUUUUUGUAUAUAUAGGAAAACAACACCGAUGGGCUUUUGUGUGUUUGGACUUCAGGCUUUGUUCCAAGAACCCAUCUCACAAUAACGAGCAACCCUAAUCCUCAUCGAAAUUCAUGGUUCUACGCAAGAUUUCAUAUAUCCACUGUUCGAGCGAUUGUGUUGCCGAAGUCAACCUGAUGAAUCCUUUUUUACGGUUUCGCUUCCGUCGUGUGAGAUUCUUCUUCUCCAAUCGAAACGCUUCCAUUUCAGAUUCAUCACAUUUGAGUAUAAAAAGGUCGACUAUAGGAGUCCAACACGUACUCUAUGGAAAGGGAAGAUGGUGAUCGGAAAAGAGGCCCUUUUCGUGAUCAUGGGUCUUAAGAGACUGAACAUAGGUGGCCAGAAAUUGAAAAGACUUAAGCAAACCACUGAUUAUUGCAUACAAAAGAGUUUGAGGCAGGAGAAGAAGACUUGUAAGAGAUGCAGCUCCUUCCACAAUGUACUCUAAGCUCUCCAUCAUACUAGCUGUUUUUAUCAUCUCAUCAUAUCAUAUUUAGUGGCAUCCAAAACAAGCAAAGAGGUGUUUUGAGAAGCGGCGGGAAGUGGUGGAGGCAGAGGCCAAGGUGGUGGCUACAGAGGUGGUUGAGCUCUAGACUGUUGUGCGUAAAAGUGGGAUGGAAAAUGGAAUAGCGAGCUCUAACAUGAUAUUAGGAAGAACGUGUAAGAAAACAAUAGCCAUUUCUGAUCGUCACAUAAACACGCUCCUGCUUGUCAAAGAGCAUUCGGAGAUGAAGCACUUGUUGCUUCGACUUACGCAAGGAUCUUUCUCUAUAACUCGGUGGCUACAGAAAUGUGUUUCCGCUUGAGUCAAAGGUUUAUGUAUGAGUGUACGACGGGAGAAACGGUGACGAUAGAGCUAACAGAGAGAGCGAUGGGUUAUUGACUAAUUACUCGACCGGUAAACAAUAUAAGCUAUAGUCGAUAGGUGAUGCUGGGCUGGUGAUGCUGGUGGUAUCUUUGCUUAUGCGAGGAAGAUGGUAAUGAUUCCAUCUCCAUUAACAGCUUAACUCCACAUUCAAUAUGAUGUGUUCACAGUUAUGUUCUCAUGACUUUGUUGUUGUUGAUUAUUUAUCUACUCAAAUCUAUCUCUCUUUUCAAGGACUGAGAAGAUGACUGCAUUUUCCAUAUAGCAGAGAUAUGAUUUUUAUGUACUCAUUAUCUUCUGUGUCUCAACUAGAUUUCUUAAGUAGUUGAUACCCUUUGUAUUCAACUUAUUUUGUUGGUUGGCACACAUUCUGUACUAUAUUUCCAUAACGUCCACUUGGAUAAUUUGUUUUUUAUUUUUUCUUCA